rnacentral:rRNA from 1 species
AUGAAGCCGGAAUUGCUAGUAAUGGCAGGUCAGCAUACUGCCGUGAAUACGUUCCCGGGCCUUGUACACACCGCCCGUCACACCAUGAGAGUUGGGGAUACCCAAAGCCCGUGAGCCAACUUUUUAAGAGGCAGCGGUCUAAGGUAGAAUCAAUGAUUGGGGUGAAGUCGUAACAAGGUACC